AUAUUUUGGCCAAGCUUCCGUCUUCCUUUUGUUGCCUCUCUUUGGUGUUGUAGCUUUCUGCUUUGCUCUUUUUUGGGGGGUUUCGAAAAUGGUUGAGAAAGCAAGGGGAAGAAAGGAAGAGGUUGUUUCCAGAGAAUACACCAUCAACCUUCACAAGCGUCUCCAUGGCUGGUAAUUUGAUUUUUUCCACUUCUUUUUACACAAUUUUUCAUUACUUGCUUUGUGGAUCUCUGUUGUUUCGGUUCUAAAUUAGAUUUUUUUUUUCUGUAUUUUUUUUCAAUAUUUCGAUUAUUUGUUUUCAUUUCUUUUGUAUUCAUCUUGUUUAUAAUCAUAAACUUUGUUCGCAUAAGUAUUGGCCUUUCAUGUGGAUAAGAAAUGGUGGAAUUUAGGGUUAGAUUCAUGAUUUUUAUCCGUUACCGGCAAUAGAUUCGUGAUUUAAUCUUAAACUAAUUAUAUUGAAAUUGAUGAUGUUCAUUGUAACGAGUCGAGCUCAAUACUUGAUUCGAACUUGAUCGAGUUUCCUUUUAAAGUUUGAGCUUAAUUCGAGACAAAAAUCGAAUUGCUUAAAGGUUGCUUAGAUUGGAUAAUUCUUGUGCUCGACUUCGAACUCAAUUAUUUUCCGCCCUAGUUUUAUCUCGAGUAGAAAAUGAUUGUGUAAGACUGGAUCUUUUUCGAAUCAAAUCCCAGCAGGUUGCAAGUAUAGUUUGAGUGAUUUGUUUUUUAAUGAAGUCCUUGGUAAUCUUUGUAUACAGCACAUUCAAGAAGAAAGCUCCCAAGGCAAUAAAAGAGAUCAGGAGAUUUGCAGAAAAAGCCAUGGGAACCAAGGAUGUGAGAGUUGAUGUUAAACUGAACAAGCAUAUAUGGAGCCGAGGGAUUCGAAGUGUCCCCAGACGGAUAAGGGUUCGCAUUGCUCGGAAGAGAAAUGAUGAUGAAGAUGCAAAGGAGGAGCUUUACUCUCUGGUAACGGUUGCCGAAAUUCCAGCCGAAGGACUCAAAGGUUUGGGCACUAAGGUCAUCGAUGACGAUGAUGAGUAAUCUCCGAUCUCUAGUUUAAGAAAAGCAUUGCAUUUUCUUUACUGAAAAGUUUAAAUCCAGGUUUUGGCUAGUUUUACGAUUUUGUUCAUCAACUGUUUUUCCUUUGGUAUUCGGUUUAUCGUUGUUUAGACUUUUAAGCUCGGUGCAAUUUAUGUUUCAAUGGCGGAAUCAGGUUCUUUUUGCAAUUGAGUUUCCCAUACAUUAUGAAGCAUUACUUUAUUAUAUUCAUGUCAUGAAUAAGCCGAUUAUGCACGAACUGCUGUAGUUUUAUCAAUGACUUGGACAUGAUUAGCUGUUGAGACUACCUGGUUAUGUGCGAACAACCCGUAGUUAUGUUAAUGGCUCAGACAUGAUUAAUAACGGAUCGGAAUUGCUCUCGGUUGUUCGAUGGCUGUCAUUCUGUUUAAUUGUAGGAGGUUCUUGUUGUCGAAAUAGAACCCUAAGCUGGGUCUAAGGCCUUCAAUGAUGAAAGUGUAGCCGUUAACAUCAAGGGUCAUCAAAAUAAUGACAAAAACUACAUCAAAUUCUUAAUCCUGAUAGACACAAUCUAGUGUUUUGAAAGCUAUUUGCAAGUCCAUUGCAAUUUCGUAAGAUUAUAGCUUCAUAUUAUUUAAAAAAAUAUAUUUAGAGGAUUCUUGUAAGAUUAUAACUUCAUAUUAUUGGAAAAUAAAAAAGAAUUGUUGCCUAUGGCAGUAAAUUAAAUAUAUUGAAUUGAUCAACUGUUUUAGCUUAAUUGGUAUUAAUAUUGUUGUUUAUGUAGAAGAAAAUGGGUUGAAGCACGUCGAAAUGUAUUUGUUCUGCUAUUGAAGGAGAUAUUAUGAGUAAUGAUUUUUUCAAAUUUUCAUCUCAUUAAAUUUAUUUUCAGGAAUAUCUCGAAAAUUGCAAAGCAACAAAAUUAGAUGAAUUUUUAUAAUAAGGUCGCAAUAAAAUUCAGAAAAAAUUGUUACAUCUCUUCUAUUUUUUUUUUUUUUGGUCGAAAGAUAUGCUACAAAUUAACAAAUUUCUCUACUUAUACGACCAAAAAAAGUGAAAUACCUAAAAUAUACGAAAAUACUAAAUAUUUUUAACAUUGUUAAAAUUCUUUUGAUGAAUUCAUGUUUAUUAAAACGCUUUAAUUGCUUACAUUGUUACCA
rnacentral:lncRNA from 1 species